UCGAGAAUAAUUCGCAAUGGACGAAAGUCUGACGAUGCGACGCCGCGUGAGCGAUGAAGGCCUUCGGGUUGUAAAGCUCUGUCGCCUUGGAGCAAGAGUAGAAGGGUAAUAUCUUUUUACGAUGAGAGUACAAGGAAAGGAAGCACCGGCUAAUUCCGUGCCAGCAGCUGCGGUAAUACGGAAGGUGCAAGCGUUAGUCGGAAUUAUUGGGCGUAAAGGGUGCGUAGGCGGCAUUCUAAGUUGGUUAUGAAAUUCUGUGGGCUCAACCCCAGAACUAUAACCAAAACUGGAAUGCUUGAGGGAUGGCGGAGAAAACGGAAUUCCAUGUGUAGCGGUGAAAUGCGUAGAUAUAUGGAAGAACACCUGUGGCGAAAGCGGUUUUCUAGCCUAGUCCUGACGCUAAGGCACGAAAGCAAGGGGAGCAAACA
rnacentral:rRNA from 1 species